rnacentral:lncRNA from 1 species
GGCCAAUGACAUACUGAAUAAGAAAGAGAAUUUACAUUGCUGAUAAGAAUUUGUAAUAUUAUAUACAUUUGAAGGCAUCAGGGAUAAUCGAAUUACUCUUGUACUUGAUUGCUAAGGCCUACUACGUUCUAAAGCAAAAUUAUAUAUGUUUUUGAGUACAAAUACUUGUAAGUUUUCCACCUUUUGUCCUUACUAUUAUAGAGAGGACAUUGACCAAGUACCAACGCACAAUUAUCCGUAGACUCUUAGGACCAAAGUAGAGGUCAACUAGGGAUUAAGCAGUACAAUAUUGCUCGUCAUUAAAUCCUAGUGUCACUCCUAGCCCAUUCCAUGCAAAUUAAAUGGCUUCACUAUUCCUGCUAACGUCCUUCUUCAACUGUAAUCGUCACCUGAUUGUUGGAUACAAUGUAUUUCUUAUCGGAGGAAGAAGAAGAUGUGCUAGAAGCAUGUGUCCUUAUUACAAAAGCUGGUCUAUUAGGUGUUGGAAGGUUAGCACCUUCCCCUCCCAGCAUUAAAAUGACAUCUGACAUAUUAGGACGAUGAUUUGGAUCAUCUUGUACACACAGGAGCGCAAUAUUUAUGCACUUUAUUGCUUCACUUCUGUUGCAUGAUUCAAGUAAUGACUUCUCUAUUAAUUGUGUCUCAGCUUUUUCUGUCCACAAUUUCCAUGCCUGAGAUAAUUUUUCUAUCAGAGAAACAAAGCUAAGAAGAAGAUAUAAUAAUUAAGUCAUGGGAAGUUUCUUCACUUACAUAGCCCAACAAGUUUAAGGCUUCUUCUGACUGAUAAAAUCCAGUAUUCCUUCUCCCACUGAUUAUCUCAAGUACGACUACUCCGAAACUGAAUACAUCUGAUUUGAUGGAAAACAAUCCAUCCAAUGCAUAUUCUGGAGACAUAUAGCCACUAGAUUUCACCAGGUCAACAAAACAUUAUGUAUAAGAUUUUCUCCCAAGCUCCUUUUGUAAGAAAUUAAUGACAGGAAAGAAUAUUAUACUUACUAGGUCCCCACUAUGAAUAUUAUACUUACUAGGUGCCCACUAUUUUCUUUGUAUUUGCUUCUGUUACUUUUCCUUCAACAAUCCUUGCCAAGCCAAAAUCUGAAAUUUUCGGGUUCAUCUCCUCAUCUAAUAAAAUGUUACUGGUUUUUAAAUCUCUAUGAAUGAUCCUUAGUCGUGAAUCAUGGUGAAGAUAAGAUAGACCCCGUGCAAUGCCCAAUAUGAUGUCAUAACGUUUUUUCCAAUCCAAUAAUUGACAAAGUGCUCCAUCUUGCAUCAUAACCAUGAAAAAAUUUGGUAGGUCAAUAAAAUUAGAUCAUUAUAAGAAAUGUAAGACUUUGAGAAUAAGGAACUUAAUAAGGCUAACUCACCAAAUAUGAAUGUAUCUAAACUUUUAUUCGGCAUAUAUUCAUAAAGUAGUAUUUGUUCCGUUGCAUUGAUGCAAUAGCCCAAUAGCCUCACCAGAUUUCGAUGUUGAAGCUUUGCAAUUAGAGUCACUUCAUUCUUAAAUUCAUCUAUGCCUUGUCCUGAUUGACUGGAUAACGUUUUUACUGCAAUUUCCUUUUCACCCGGAAAGAUACCCUGCAAGAUUUUUUCAUCUCAUUACUAUAGGUCAAUGCGGUCAUGCCAGUCCACAUAGAUGUAGGAAUGAAGUUUUAACCUUGUAAACAGGACCAAAUCCUCCUUGUCUGAGCUUAUUUGCAUUUGAGAAGUUGUCUGUAGCAGCCAAAAUGGUCUCCAAGUGAAAGUAUGGAACAUCAAUAGCUUCAUCACUGUUUUCUUUCAUCAACACUUUCGCUUCUCCUUCAGCUUUGUGCCAAAGAGAUAUAUGUGCCCCUUGAGUACCUUUACUUUUAUCUGAUUGAGAAUGACCUUUGAAAUUAAGUUCAAAAUGGUAUAAAAGAAAAUAUCUUCCAGAGUAAGAUUCAUUCAUCAAAUACCUGCUUUUUUUGCCAUCCUUCUUCUAUAGUAAAUGUAGCAAAAGCUGGCUAUGAGUAGAAUCAUCAAAGCUAUUAUGGACGAAAGAAUUGCUUUUAGCUUCAUCAAUUUCUUAGCUUUAGUUUGAUCUGAAAGUAGAAAGCCAAAACCAUGUCAGAUAUAUUAACAUCUAUCUUGAAGGACUUUGAUGCAAAUAUUCAUUGGACCUCAGAACCUAUCAUUAAUACUCUUUAAGAAUUCUUUUCUGGCUUAAGUUUUACUUUGCUCAACCAACUCCUCAACACAGGAAAAAGAAAAGGAGAAUCAUUGUUGUUAAGUGCUGGUACCAAGAGAAAGCGAAAUGGAAAGGACGACACCAAGCAGGAUAUUGUUAGCAAUCUGCAUGCAUAGAAGGUCCUGGGUGGGAGAUUUUUUUACCCCAGGAUCCUUAAGAAACCUGGAAUGAACUCGUUGGCGGAUCUAGUGGAGAUUCAAUCAUGGACUCACCUGUUCAUGACUAAAUCUCAUGUAAUGCAUGAAGACCAAGUAAUGGAGUUCUAUUACAAUGUGGAGUUCAAUGAGGAUGGAAGUCUUUAUACUUUGGUGGGAGAUAAAAUGAUGCAUCUAAAUGAGGAGCUGUUGGGAGAGAUUCUAGAGGUACCUAGAGAAGGGAUCAGGUCCGUGGUUGGAAAACUUUACACUCAACACUUUGCCAAUGAGUGCUCUAAGCUUCCGCAUCGUGCAGGUAUUCAGAAAAAGCUUAUGAAAGGGGAAUACUAAUUGUUGUUUGAGUUUGUGAACAAGGUGGUUCUUUCUCGAUCUGAGAAGCGUAUAGUUGCCAAUUCAGCAGAUUUAUUCCUAAUGGAAUCUAUCUGCAAGUUCGACCCAUUGAAUCUGCCAGCACUCAUGUUGGAACACAUGCACAAAACGGUGAUAGAACGUAAAGGCAAGCAUGGAAUGAGAUAUGGAUACUUUCUCAUAAAAGUGUUCGAUCAUCUGAAAGUUUCACUGGGACCAGGUACUGUUGGCACAGUUAAACAAUCAAUUUCUCUCAAUACCUUAGUCGAGUGUGAGUGCAUCGAGGGUCAAAUAAGACGACUAAGUAAAAUGUCUCACUUAGUGGCUGAACGAGAUUAACUGAAGCGUGAACUGGAGGAACUAACAACACUUGUUCAGAAAAAGGAUGCUGAAAUGGCACUAUUGAAGGCAUAACUGGCCAAAGCUCAGUCUGAAGGACCUGGUACUGAAGAGGUCAAAGAGUUACGUCUGAAAAAUACAGCCCUUCUGACUCAAACUGCUGAUGUUCAAGAAAGGUUGAUCAAAGCUCAUGACUCUACCAAUGACCGACUUACCUUUGUCAUCAGAUCUCUCACUCAUCUGCCUCCUUCCUCCUAAUUAUCUCCAUCUUUUGUCCUUGCCUGUUUUUUUUGUGUGGGCAGUGUCCCGGGUUCUCUUUAGCAGUUUAUUGUCAAUGUAUUGAAUGUUUACUUUGUGCAAUGAAAAGGACUUCUGUUUUGUUGUGAUGUCUUCCAGUCUAAUUCUUUUUCUAUGAUGUGUUGCUCAAAGCUAUGGUCUUUCUAUGCAUGCUUACUUUUAAUCUUGGUUUACUGUCUCUCUUUUUUAUGAUGCCAAAAGGAGGAAUAAUGGGUGCCUUAUAGACAUGGGGAAGCGGAUAAUGAAGAGGAUAUAACAUUAUGAGUUUGUCAUCAUCAAAAAGGGGGAAAAUGUUAUUUGAAGUUUUGAUGAUUUGACAAACAGAGGACCUUGUAAGGGGAUCUGAUCCCCGUCAUUCAUAUCCGUACAAUUGACAGUUGGAAAAAGUACACAAGUUUGGUGCACGGUCUCCAAGUGUGGCAGAAACCUCAGUCAAUCGCAUUGCCUUGAAGGUUGUGUCUAUUCUCAUAAGGACUUCCACACACAUACACAACCUCAGUUUUUGCAAUAUAGAUUUUUAGAGCAAAAAGGCAAAAACCACUCUCUCAAGAAGUACUUACCAAAGAGCAACAAGGACCAUAUAGAGCAACUUGUAUCUUAGUUGUCUUAGGUUUUUACUUCAGUUCUUAUCGUUGUAAAUCUAAUCCUAAACUAUAAAGGAAUUAGAUCUUUUGUCAGUUCGUCUAAAAGUCUAAACCAGUUGUGUCUAACUGGUUUAGUGGGCAACAUUGUUCGUUGCUUAGUCAAAUCCUAAGUCAUCUAGUGUUAGGUGGGUUAGUGGGCAACCGUGGGUUGCUUAGUGAAUUCUAAGUUAUCUUGUGUCAGGUAGCUUAGUGGGCAAUUGUGAUAUUGCUUAGUUGCUCUAUUUGUAGUGGAAAUACUACUUUUACGGGGAAGGGAUUUAGAGGUAAAUUCCUAGGUUGCAAGUUGUUGUAAUCUGAAUCGUUGCUCUAUUUAGAAGAAAUGGAGUUUGGUUUGAAAAGUUUGUGAGGACAGGUCGUAGUUUUCACCGCCCUUAGAGCAAGGGGGUUUCCACGUUAAGUGCUUGCGUUGUUUUUGUUGUUUUACUUGUCUUACUGUUGUUGCUUGCAUUAUUGUUCUUAACGUGUCAAGGGACCUGGUCCAUUGACUUUUAGUGGACGCCUGUAUUCUAACACACUUGAUGGUGUGUUUCAAGUGUUUGUAACUCGAUAUGGUAUGAUCAAUAUUGUCUUUAAAGUAUUUAUUUCCCAAAUUGGUAUAUACUGUUCUGAUUUGCAAAUUGGAAAUACACUUAAUCAGAAACGGUUUCAAAAUAUAUAAAUGUGUCUUUUAAUUUUGUCCUCCAACUUUGGGUAUAUAUAUGUACAAGUAGAUACUUAAACUAGUAUAAAGUUAAACAAAUAGACACAUGAGUCUUAAGUGGCAUAAUACACAUAAGACACCAUGUAGAACACAAAUUGUCAUAUAGGAUAUUAGGUAGGACGUAUCCGUCUAUUUGUUCAACUUUAUACAAGUUUAAGUGUGUACUUAUGCAAAACCAAUGUUGAAAGGCAUAUGUAAAAUGAAGACAAAUUAAAUAACAUAUUUAUAUAUAAUACCAUAACAACUUCACAACUAGGUUCAUAAUCAAAUAAUUAUAAUAUCUAGUAAAAUAUUAAAAUAUAUAUAAAACCUAAACAAAAACUACUAGAUUUACGUGAAUCUAGAAAUAAUAUUAUUAUAAUUAGUUCAGUUUUUUCAAAAAAUUAUAUAUCGAACAUUAGAACAUGUUUUUAAUUUUUUUUUUUUUUUUUUGCAGAUCAACAACAUGUUGUUGGUCCAAAGAAAAUUGGGGUAUGUAUCGACCCACCUCCUUGUGGAUCUGACUGUGAGUGUGAUAAAUCACCUUGUGGUCACAGAUGUUUGAGGGAUGUGUGGGGUCUUCGUUUCUGUCGCUUUUAAUAUUGUAUGCCAUGGCAUGGAACUUUUAUGUUUUUCUUAAUCGGAAUAAAAUUGUGUGUAUUUGGAAAUUUGUAAUCGCAAAUAUUUAAUUAUUAAUGGAAAAUAAAGAUUUGUGAUUUAUCAAUGUAAUGUCUUAUGAUAUUGUUUACCAAAAAAAUGGUGCAGCUAAAUUUGUAUGAGUCAAGAAUACAUGUUUUAGCUUAAUUCAUAAGAUCUGGUUAUUAGCAAUUGAAUAUUUAUAACAAAAAAUAAUGGCCUCUGUGCAUGGUCCGUUCAAUUAUAAGACCAUUAAAGUAAAGCGGAAUACAUAAAUAGACCCCUAAACUUGUUCGAUUUUUCCUCUCAGGCACCUCAACUAUGCUACCUUCCUAUUGAAUCUCUGAACCAUCUAUAAUUUGUACCUUUUAAACAUUAUUGGCUGGCAUGGCACAAAACUUCAACAAAUAUUUUUUGUUGAUUGUGCGCGUGAAAUCCACCUUUCCCAUGUGGAAAGUGCAACCAAUCAAAAUACUCAAACUGUUGAAACAAUUUACACAUCAGUCAAUCUUGCCAAAAUAAAAAUCCAAAUAAAACCUAGAAAACCAAAACAUUUCAAUAGUUUCAAUAGUUCAACCCAAAUAACUCUAAGAAUGGAUGCUUCAAUAGUUCCUUUGUUGUUGCCCUUCUGAAUGGAGUUCUCUUAAAAGUGAUAGUACUAAAAACUUCUCAUGAACUCUUUUGGAAAUCGGUGUUUCCUCUCAUCUUAAAUGUAAAAACAUUUACUCUUGGGAAUACUUAGUUCCCAUAUAUCAUUUUAAAGAAAAUGAACUCAACUCUGCUCUUCCUCAAACUCAAAUGCUCAAGUCUUAAAAUAAGUUUUAAAACAAUGUAAAAGACUUCUCGAAAUGACUCUAAUGAACUCUCAAAACUUGACUCUUAAUUGAAUUAUGAAUUAUGAAUUCAAGAGUUAUGAUUUAUGAUAUGAAGGAUAUCAUGAUGAUUAAAUGAGUUUUAGAUAGUUAAUGAUGAGAAACGGUCGAAGAACACUGUCUGGGGAGCAAGUUCGCAACACGGAGAUGAAUUAUAAUAUUUGGUUGCGAAAUAACUUUUGAAACAGUGGAGUCCGUGUUCUCUCCGUGACGUGGAGAGAGAAAUUUCUCUCUAGGGGAGCAAUUCCGCGACGUGGACUUGGGCGCCAAUUUCAUGCCCGAUUUUUUCUUCUUCUCCCAAACCUGAUUCAACUCGUACCCACUAAAAUUCUAAGGUAAAAACUCUCGAAUUCCUAUAACUCAGAACAAUUCCAGCGGAACUCACUCGAGAACUAUCAAUUUACUCAACCCCUUAACAAAAUCUUCAUCUCAAGAACUCAACCAAACAUCAAGAUUCAAGAAUGAAUAACAACUCAUCAAGAAACUCAUCAAGAACUUAAUUCCUCAAUCUCUAGGGAUGAAUUUGGAAAUGUAAAAAUAUGAUUGGCAUGUGGGUGAACGAACCCAACACUAUGAAAAACUUACAUACCUCGAUUUGGCGAAACAAAUCCUCAAUUUGCACGAACCUUGAUCGUUCUUCCUUUUCUCCUCUUUUCCUCUUCUUGAACUCUCUUCUAAAAUCCUAAGCGGAAUUAGGAUUUGUAAAACUGACUCAAAUCAAAUUUGACCCCAAAAUAAUACUAAAAAUCGUUUUAAUCUGAUUGGGUAAGGAAAAAACCAAAAUACCCCUCAUUAAUUCGGGUAACUUUCCUUAACUGGACAUGCUAACUUCAAACGGGCAUAUCUCCCUCAUACGAGCUUGAAAUUUAGCAAACUCGGUGGCGUUGGAAAGAGGAUUCCAAGACCUUUCAUUUGAUAACUUAUGGGCUACCUAACUCAUCCUGUACUGAAAGUUAUGACCAUUUGAAGUUGAUCCAAAACUCACAACUCAAGCAUAACUUGCAAAAUUUCAAAUUAGUUUCUUUCCAAAUUAAUUCUUUCUAAAUAUAGCUCUUUCUAAGGCAGGAUUAUAUGUAUGUAUAUGAUUUUGUAUGUGUAUAUAUUGUUGGGAAAAGGCAUAGAUUCCCCCUUGAAUUUGUCCCGAAAAGUUAUUUACACGCUUUAACUAUCCUGAUGACCUAUUACACACCUGAUUUUGUUUAAAGUGAUAUUAAUACCCCCUUAAAAGAUGGCAUGGCAAAGAAAGCGUCUUCACCCUCUUUAAGGUGCGUGAGAAGAAGAAAAAAAAAAGUUAAAAUGAUAAAUUUAAACAUGUGAAACUAUCUUAUUGGUCAUUAUAUAAUUAAGUAUUAUAAUUUUUAGUAUAUUAAUUAUGUCAAUAAUCUUUUUUUUUUGUCUUUUUAUUAGUGGCCUCCAAUUUUUUUAAAAGCUUUUACAUUUUUCUUUCUUUUGACUUCUUCUUCUUCAACAGUUCUUCACUUUGUCACCAUUAAUAAGUUCUUCACUUUAUUCCCAUGAAAGCAUAUUCAAACCCUUACAGAAGAACUCUAAAAAGAAAUAGAAAGAAAAUGAUUGUUCUAUCUUCGUCUUCUCUAUUCUUGCCGGCACCUCCAACCAUCACAAUGUCAUUUUUGUCUCAAGCGGCCAUCAAUAGCAUAUUUGAUUAUUCACUAUGCACAAAUAAUACAAAUGAAAUGCUUAAUUUCAUCCAUAAUUAUCGAUAUUUUUAAAGAAAAUUACAGAUUUGAAAGUAAUUUUAUAGAUCUGAAAGUUUUUAUUUGUUUCACUGGCAACAAUGGUGUUGCCCACGGCGUAUCACCGCUACCAACAUCUCCAUACUUCAUAAUCGUCUGACUACUUCCUAUUUUAUCUUCAAAUUUUCUCGUUUCCCCUUCUACUUAUGAAGAAGGAAGAAGAAAUGAAUUUAAAAAAUAAAGAGAUGUAUGGUGUGGGGAGGAAGAACACACACAAAGUAGAAAUUAUUAAGGGAAAAAAGUUAAAAAAUAUAAAAUAAUAUUAUUUCCGUUUUCAUCAAAACGCAUGUAUAACAUUUUCUCACACAAAAUUGAGAUUGUCUUCGGAAGGGGGAAUUAAUAUCAUUUUGAACAAGAUUAGGUGUGUAAUAGGUCGUCAUGACAGUUUAAGCUUGUAAUUGACUUUUCGAGACAAGUUCAAGGGAGAAUUUAUGCCUUUUCCCUAUAUUGUAUAUGCAUAAUAUAUACACAUGAUCUUUAACUUGAUUUCAGUGGAUAAAUAUGAUAUUUAACUUUGUGAGUGCACAAGUAGGUACUUUUACAAUUUAAAACUUGAACACAAAGACUCAAUUUAACCUUUGACGUGCGUGACUUGCAUGAAUUUUAGUAUUUUGCUCCAGAAGAGGUUCGCUUGAGUCACCGGCGAUGUCUCCGGUCAGAUCGAUUGAAGUUCAAUUCUGUCUCUCUUUCUUCUAUUAUUUGUUUGUAUUGAUUGUAAUUGAAGCAAGGAUGGUCUUGAAUGAAUCAUUAAUUUAUCAAUAAGAUAUCUUAAGAGUAAAAUUGGUUCAAUUAAUAUUUGGUUUGGGGGAUUUCGUCCAAUUGAAGGACAUUUGUUAAAUUUCAUAACAAUAAGAGUAAAAUUGGUUUGAUAGUAUAACUAAAGACAAAGUUAACUAAUAAAUGAAAGUAAAAAAGGUAUCUUUGAUCAUUUUUUCCUUUAUCCCUUGUGACUUUGAUUAAAAAGAUAGAAGUAUAUUAUAAAAUGUAUGAGUUUUUAGCCAAAAAUAUUCCUAAACUAUACCCUCAACUUAAACUACAUCCUUAAAUUAUCCUUCUUAACAGAAAAUAUCCCCCAAGUAUUUAAAACUUAACCACUUUCAUCCUUUUGUUAAAGCUUUUUUCACAUAAUUUCAUUAUCCGUUGGAAAAAGCUCCCCCACCAAAAAAAUAAUUAAUUUUUUGAGACAUUUAUUUGCUGAAAAGAAAUAAAGGUAGGAUGGUGUUGCAAAGAGACAUGAUCUACUCUUCUCCUUUAUCAACUUAACGAAGCUGAAGCUUAAUUUCACAUCAUCUUUACCUUCUGUAAAGUCAAAAUGUAAUUAGAUCAACAAUUUUUUGGGCAAUUUGAUGUUUAAAGUGAUCAAGAUUCUGAAUUUCAUAUAUGACACUCGAGUUUUGUUCUCCAUUAUUAAAAGUAAAAGUCUCAAAUCGCCACCAUUUCUUGUAGAUUCAAUGAGAAAAAAAUAUUUCAACUGGUAAUUUUUUAAUAUCAAAUCAAAUGAAAAAUAAAUUAAAACAAAGUUGCUAAUAAAAAGAUCUGCAUAAUGCCAAGUGUUGUUGCAAAAAAGAAUUCACAAUAAUAUUUUAGAUGUAUCACGAAAUGAAGAGAUUUUUUUAAUCUUUAGUGAUUUAGGAAGUUUUGCUGAGAGUAGUAUGAAUUGCACAUAUUUUUGUAUGAAUUCUGUUAAUUUGUGUCAAAUUAUAACAAAAGGAUGGAAGUUGUUAAGUUUAAAAUACUUGAAGGAUUUUUUUGUUAAGAAGUAGAAUAGCAUGGGACAUAAGUUUCAUUUAGUUUGAAUUACAUAACAUGGGACAUGACUCAUGAGUGUAUUGGACAUGGAGUAAGACUAGAUAUGGAUAUAUACUUCAUUUUCAUAAAACCUUCGAAACUUGUCAUGGUCUUAGGUUACCUUACACCUCAAAAACUUCCUUCAAGGCAUGUUUCAUACCUAAUAUUUGCCUUGUAAGAUAUUUCUAAUGGUGUGAGUUCUUGAAACACAAAUCAAUACCUUUUACCUUCAAUAAGACGAAACUUACCACUCUCAUCACUUUUCAAUUAUAAUUCUGACAUGAGCACAUCUAAUUACAAAGUGUUGUGUCGUAUCUAGAAAGUUUCCGGAAAAGGCAUGCAUGGCUUUGUCUAAACACACUGGAAAAAAACACUUUAAAAAGCAUAUACAAUAGUGAAUCAACCGCGUCUACCUUCUUUUGGCACAUUCUGUCUAAUAAGAAUUUAAAUUAUUAUACAUUUGAAAGCAUCAGGGAAAAAUAGAAUUACUCUUCUGCUUGAUCCCUUCUAAUGCCCUUCUUCAACUGUAAUCGUCACCUGAUUGUUGGAUACAAUGUAUAUCUUAUUGGAGGAAGAAGAUGAUGUGCUAGAAGCGUGCGUCCUUGUUACAAAAGCUGGUCUAUUAGGUGUUGGAAGGUUAGUACCUUCCCCUCCCAGCAUUAAAAUGACAUCUGACAUAUUAGGACGAUGAUUUGGAUCUUCUUGUACACACAGGAGCGCAAUAUAUAUACACUUUAUUGAUUCACUUUUGUUGCAUGAUUCAAGUAUUGACUUCUCUAUUAAUUGUAUCUCGGCUUUUUCUCUCCACAAUUUCCAUGCCUGUGAUAAUUUUUCUAUCAGAGAAACAAAGCUAAGAAGAAGAUAUAAUAAUUAAGUCAUGGGAAGUUUCUUCACUUACAUAGCCCAACAAGUUUAAGGCUUCUUCUGACUGAUAAAAUCCAGUAUUCCUUCUCCCACUGAUUAUCUCAAGUACGACUACUCCGAAACUGAAUACAUCUGAUUUGAUGGAAAACAAUCCAUCCAAUGCAUAUUCUGGAGACAUAUAGCCACUAGAUUUCACCAGGUCAACAAAACAUUAUGUAUAAGAUUUUCUCCCAAGCUCCUUUUGUAAGAAAUUAAUGACAGGAAAGAAUAUUAUACUUACUAGGUCCCCACUAUUUUCUUUGUAUUUGCUUCUGUUACUUUUCCUUCAACAAUCCUUGCCAAGCCAAAAUCUGAAAUUUUCGGGUUCAUCUCCUCAUCUAAUAAAAUGUUACUGGUUUUUAAAUCUCUAUGAAUGAUCCUUAGUCGUGAAUCAUGGUGAAGAUAAGAUAGACCCCGUGCAAUGCCCAAUAUGAUGUCAUAACGUUUCUUCCAAUCCAAUAAUUGACAAAGUGUUCCAUCUUGCAUCGUUACCAUGACAAAGUUUGGUACGUCAAUAAAAUUAGAUCAUUAUAAGAAAUGUAUGACUUUGAGAAUAAAGAACUUAACAAGGCUAACUCACCAAAUAUGAAUGUAUCUAAACUUUUAUUCGGCAUAUAUUCAUAAAGUAAUAUUUGUUCCGCUGCAUUGAUGCAAUAACCCAAUAGCCUCACCAGAUUUCGAUGUUGAAGCUUUGCAAUUAGAGUCACUUCAUUCUUAAAUUCAUCUAUGCCUUGUCCUGAUUGACUGGAUAACGUUUUUACUGCAAUUUCUUUUUCACCCGGAAAGAUACCCUGCAAGAUUUUUUCAUCUCAUUACUAUAGGUCAAUGCGGUCAUACCAGUCCACAUAGAUGUAGGGAUGAAGUUUUAACCUUGUAAACAGGACCAAAUCCUCCUUGUCCGAGCUUAUUUGCAUUUGAGAAGUUGUCUGUAGCAGCCAAAAUGGUCUCCAAGUGAAAGUAUGGAACAUCAAUCGCUUCAUCACUGUUUUCAUUCAUUAAUACUUUUGCUUCUCCUUCAGCUUUGUGCCAGUGAGAUUUAUGUGCCCCUUGAGUACCUUUACUACUAUCUGAAAUAGAAAUGGGGAGUGGGAGGGAUUUCAUUACCUCAAUUGGAUUGAGAAUGACCUUUGGAAUUAAGUCCAAAAUGGUAUAAGAGAAAAUAUCUUCCAAAGUUAGAUUCAUUCAGCAAAUACCUGUUCUUUUUGCCAUUCUUCUUCUAUAGUAAAUGUAGCUAAUGCUGCCUAUGAGUAGAAACAUCAAAGCUGAUAUUGAUGAAAUGAUUGCUUUUAGUUUCUUUGAUUUCUUAGCAUUAGUUUGAGCUGAAAGGAGAAUCAUUGUUGUUAAGUGCUAACGUUAAUAAGGAAUUCUAUUCAUAACAUUGUACUAAUAUGAAAUAAAGAAUCAAAGUAUGUUAUACUACGCUAUUCUAACCUUCAGGUGAGCCGCGUUUGACAAAUAUAGUCCUUUCUGAUUCAUUUGUGCUGAGUUGUUGCAGAUUGAACAGACCCCCUGUCCAGAUAGAACAGGUACCGGAACCAUCAUAAGUAUAAGCAGUGCAAGAGCAAUCGGUGAAACAUGCAGAUCUACACUGUGAGGCUUCCCCAACUGUGAUAUUAGUAUCUUGAGAAGAAGGUACUCUCACAAUUGAAGUUAUCCAUAAACUAUCUGUGUCUUCAGUAAUUGCAUUACACUGCACCUUUUGGUCUCUUACACAGCCACCAGAGUAAUCAUUAGAAUUCCAUUCUGUAUCUGAUCUUUGCUUGAAACCACUCAAACAAUUGCAGGGUGCAUUAGCCUCACCACAAACUCCAAAUGCCCCACAUAUAGCAUAAACCUGACAAGAUUCUCUUGGUUGAGACCAGAAUAAAUUCCAUUGAAAUCUAUUACCCAACCAUGUUAGUUGCUUAAUUUGUCCCGAGACACCCAUGGUGAAUAUUGAUAAGAUUGGACUAUUGUAAAGGGAAUAUGUAAAAUAUGACUCAUUCUCAUUGUCGAUGUAGCUGAAAUUAUGUAUGUAGUUUGUCGUCAUCUCAGGUAUUGCGCUGAACAUUCGGCUAUUCCAUGAACCACUUGCCCAAUACUCUGUAGUCCUAUUCCAUUUUAAAACAAAUUGAGUAUUCUUUGGGUCCAUUUCCAUAGAAUACAAUCCUGGUGCUGGAUCACUCGAAUUCUUCCAUGAUACCAAAACCUGUUUUCUUUGUGUACGUUUGUCAUAUCCAAUCUUAGCACCAGGCAUAAAAGUGUGUGUUGGGUGAUCAAAACUUUGCCAAAGUAGUAAGGGUGUUGAUGAAUUUGACACAUCACUCAAAAUCAAAUUUCCAUCAUCACGAAGAAGUGCAGUAACUGAAAUAUCUGGAUUGAUGUUUCCAGCAAGUGCCGACCAAACUACGCCUUGAAAUCUAUCAUGAAGCACCAGGUUUCCUUGACUAAUUUUCAUCUCAGCAGCACCAUAAUCAAGUGGUUUAUCCCUAUUUGCUACCCAAAUUACUGUUUGCGAUAAAAUAACGUUCUUGUACCAUAUGCCUAGAUAAUAUUUAAGAGAGUUACCUGGUCUGAAAAAACCAAGCUCAAAUAUCUCACCUGAAGAGACUAGAGUUUCACCAUAAGAAAGAGAUUCAUUCGCAGAAAUGGUGUCCCUUGCGAUACAGAGAUUAUUGUUGAGACUGAAGCAUAAAAAGAGUAGCAGAAAGUAAUGAGUGUUCUUCAUUUCCAUGGUACGUAGAGAAGUUGAUUGACUACUGAAAGAAUGAGAGAAAAUAAGGAGUGCAAAGUGUUUACGGAAGGAGAUUUUUCUUCUUUGGAGUCCAUGAAACUAGUCAAAACAAGUUUCUUGUUUUAUUGCUAAUAAAUAUACGUUGAUUAUUCUUACUUCUAGCAUACGUUGAUUGUUUCAAAAUAGGUGUGGAAAAAAUAUCUAGUCAUUCAUUCCACUCUGGGUGGUUGUGAUUUGUGAAAAUUAAGCAUACAAAAAAAACAUUAAUGCAUGUUUGUAAAGUCAUUUUGAUUAUCGGUUUUGGUGUAAUUGAGUGUAAUUACACUCUCUAACAUAUUUGGCUGGUCAUGUAAAUAUUCAGCAAAUAAUAGGAUGUAAUUGACAUGGGUAACUACACUCUCCGAUUCUCAGGUGUAAUUGAUCUUUAUUUUUAAUGUUUCCCGUAGAUGUAAUUACUUAAGGAUUUUUUUUAUUCAAUUGAGACUAGUUGUGUGAGGUUUCUAUUUGUCUCGUAAAAAUGUAGACUUGAAUCUUACCUUUUGGGUUAACAAACUUUAGGUCUACUUUCUGUGAGAGAAAAAAUCUCACACAAUAAUAUUAACUCUUGGAAAUAUAGUAUCAAUAUUUGGUGUCACCCUCCUUAAUUUCGAAAUGGUGGAAGUGAAACUCAAGGAAAUAUUUCUUGCUCCGUUCCUAUUUAUAUAUCACCAUUUUAGAUUUUACGUGCAUUACGAAACUAAGUAAGUUUACUAUUCUACUCUUAUUUAAUGUUUUCUUAAAGUUAAGUUUUCAAUCAAUGAACGUAAAUUUAAUUUAUUUUGAUUAAUUAAUUUGAUCAAUUGACAUAAAUUAUUUACUUAAUUUUUUUAUGUUGAUCAAAUGUAUAUUUUCAAGAUCAAUAACUCAUAACAAUAAAUAGGAAGAAUAAUGUCAAUGCAUUAAUUUUGUGAAAUGACAAAUAUUAAGAACCAUCUAUUUUAGUAAGGACGACAUAUAAAUAGGAACGCAGGGAAUAAUAAAUAAUGCAAGUGGAUCUCUACAAAAAUGGUGUCUCCUCCUUGCAAAAGAUUAUCGGUAGAAUGAGUGAUUGUUUGAAGACAAGAUAAUGAAAAUGAAAAAGAGACUUUUCUGCUUGGAGUUGGAAAUUUUUAUCUUUGGUCUACUUUUCUUUAGUCUUCCAACAGUCAAUAUCAACCUUCUAUUAUGACUAGAUAAAGAAAGGUUCAUUUAUGGGUUUAAUAUUAUAAUUUUAAAGAUUGGGGUCUGCUCUUUCUUUUUUGGGAGAGUAUGCCAAUAUGAUCUUAAUGAGGUACGGGGCUUUGCAUCUGACAUUCGUUGGGCUUCUCUCUUCGGGAGCCUGCGCCCCGGCCUUUUUGUUCAAUAAACCCCUCCGGCCGAAGACUAGUGGCCCAAAAAAGCAAAACCUCACUAGACUGAGGCCCAUUGCUAUAGGGGUCUCGGCUUCCAUAAAAAAAAGUUAGUAACUUCUACGCUAGUCUUCACAAUUACUCCACUUCCCAGUCUCAGUAGUGGUUGCAGGUGCACAUGAAGAAGACUUGGAUAAAGGCACAUAUGAGUAGCAGAAUGGAAGAUUGGCUUUUUAGAUAAGGUUUCGUUAUAAGUAUUUAAUUAGAUUUUUAGAAAGAAAAGUUAUUAUUACUAUUUUCAAACAAACACGAUAGUAAAUGAUAAAUAAGAAGUACUUGUCAUUUCAUAUUAGUUUCUUAGUUUUCCUCACAUGCAUUACACCAAUAAUACUAUACAAUAGUUAACAUGUACACAUUGCAUACUUUGGAAAACAACGAAUCAUUAUCUACCCGAAGGAUUUCUUCUUGAAUAUUCCUAGCAUAAUACAAUCAUCCCAAAUACCUUUCCUAAGACAACGCCUAGCCAUAUCCUACCGUCAACCAUAACCAGUCAGCCCAUCAUAGCCUAAACUAUAGGUAAACCACACAUUCAACCAGCUAGACUCUGUAUCCGAAGACUUAUGCAUGAACUUCUCUGACAAUCUACACGAUACUAUACUAGUAAAUACAUAUCUAACUACUCAGUUAAGAAAAUCUAACCUACCUGAGCGACGAUCAACUGCUGAAGAACUAAGAACACGAGUCUCCGUCUUUGUAAGGGUGAAUCUUGACGGACGUAGAUCAGAAUUCCUUAGUUUUGACCCUCCUUGCGGUUAGAAUCCCUCCUCUCCAAGUUCUUCAAGCUUUGAAGGCUUUUAGAGUAACCCGCAUCUAUUUUAUCCUUGAAGGAGGUGAUAAAUAUAAAAGAAUUCGUAUUUCUGAGAUUUUGCACUGCCUGAUCCACUAUAUCGGUUGGCACGCCACUGCAGCGAUGUCGCGAGGAAAUUCUCGCUAUGAAGGGAUGACAUCAGCUCAAGUCAGAAAUCAAUUUCCAAAAUUUGUCGUAUCAUCCCAAUUUAAAUUGGCGGUGAGUUUUCAAAUAAAAUAUUCAGGAUUUCGCACGAGGUGCCUUUGAGUAACGAUGGAACUGGUCAUUACAUUUUCAUUCCCCUUUCAUUAUUUGAUUGUCUUAUUAAUGAAUACUAGCUAGUAUAUGUGCUCGCGCGAUGCGCGAAUAAUAUUGAAGCGUUAUUUCUAAACACUUUAGAAUGUGAUAUUUUGUUCGAACAUGUUAAAUGACAUUACCUUCAAAACAAAAUCAAACUGUACAUCAUAUUGUUCCUCAAUGAAAUACACACCCUCUUCUCCCCACGUCCUGCCUCAUCCAACAUCAUAUCUCCCAUAAUAAAUCUAUACGAAUAGAGACAAUGAAUCAAGUUUUAAAUUGUUAAUAUUAAUUUUUUAUUAUCUUCAUUUGGCUUACUAUAAUUAUCAAGUGCUCUUCUUAUUAUAUUAAUUAAUACAACCAAAUCUAGUUAAAUUGUUAAUGUAUUGAUCAAUAAUUGUGAAGUCUUCCAAAUGGUCAUACUUCUGUAUUAUGUAAAAUUUAUUGUUCUGUCCACAAAAAAAAAAUUAGUUUUUUAUGUCUUUUUCAAAUUUUAAGCACCGCAACAAGUCAAUGAUAUUUCAAUAUCAUUAUAUCUACUUAAAAAAUUCAAUGCAACACUAUUUCAGUAUCAUUAUAUCAACUUCUAAAAUUCUUGAGGGAGAUUUUAUAAUUCUAACUUGAUAUUAUAUUUUCAUUGUUUACAUUCUUACUUUAUAAGGUUUGCGUACAUCAUAUCCUCUCCAAACCUCACUUGUAGGAUUAUUGAGUAUGUUAUUGUUAUUCAAUUUAUAUAUGUCUAUAAAAAGAAAAAAAAUUAAGCCCUCUCUGUGAAAUUUGACUUUAGACCGCAAUCUUCUUGAGACGACACUACUUUUAUGAGCUUGUGGGAAUAUAGGCAAACCUGAUAAGGCCUCUUUUACUGGAUGAAUAUUGUUUUAUCAUGGAUUUCAAUUUGUUACCACGUAGUGGUGUAUAGAGGUGACAAAAUUAAACUCAAUUCACUUAACUUGCUUAAUCCAUUCAAGUUUGAGUGAGUUAUUGACUCACUUAUUUAUUAGGUCAUUUCAUUUCAGUCCAUUAAUAAUUGGAUUGAUAUGUAAUCCAAAUUAGCUCGGGAGAAAUCUCGUCAAAAUAUGUUUUACUUAAUAUGUUAUAUAUAUAAUAAUAAUAAAGAAAAUAAUAAUUGUAUUAGCUACUAAAAAAUUAUAGAAGAACAAAGUAAGGAAAAAUUACAAGGAUAUUGCGUUUAAGACUUUAAUACUCUUUUUUAUUUACAAAAUUAAGUUUUUAAUUACAAAUAUAGAAAUUUAAAGUACUACACAUUUUUUUUUUUUUUUUUUUUUUUUGGGGGGGGGGGGGGNNNNNNNNNNNNNNNNNNNNNNNNNNNNNNNNNNNNNNNNNNNNNNNNNNNNNGGGGUUAAUGUGCCUAUCUUUUGGGACUCAUAACACGCCCAUUAUUCAUCUCAAUAACAAGAAUAUUCUCUUAUUAAUAGGAUAUGUUUCUCUCUCUUAUUACUUUCUCAUCUCUUCCAUUAUUAGUAUCUAGGUAAAACCUCUAUUCUUGAUAUUAAUAUUUUUGGUUCUUUUCUAUUCUUGCUUCUUUUUUUUAAAUCACCUCUAAUUCAAAAACAAAAAUUGUUUUUGUUAUUAACUUUUACUAUGAAAAUUUCAUGAAUUCUACUCCUAGAAAGAGCAUUAGGUCAAGGCUUGACGCAAUAUCAACAAUCCCAUCUUAUGUUCUAAAUUAUGUUUUGAGUUGAAUGCAUUCACUCUAUUUUCCAUGAAUAUGAAAGAGUAAUUCAUGCCACAAAUAGUGAAAUUUCUUUCUCUGUUACAACUAAUUCGCCAAAAGAAAAAAGUAAGGAGAAAGAUGUUAGUGCAAAUUCUCUCAUUAUUACCUUCAAAUCGGCAAAGGUAAGGAGAAAAAGUUACAACUGUUAAUUCGAAAAAGAUCUGGAUGAUCAUAGUGAAUAUGAUUUGUAUCAUGUAAUCCAUAAAUAUCGAAAUAAUUUUUAAACACAAUUUGUUUUAGUGCAUACACGUUAGUGACCAAUUUGGUACAAUUGUUGAUGAUAUGUUUUUUUAAAAUAGUAAUAUGUAUUAAUCUUUAGUGACUGAUCUAGUACAAUAAUUGGUGAUUUGUUGAUUUUUAACUGUUAUAUAUUUUAAUGUCUAUAGUUUGAUAGAUGAUAUAGUUAAAAUAUUGAUAAUAUGUUGAUUUAAAUUUGAUGGAUGGUUGGCUAAUAUUUUGGUGAUAUGUUGGUUUAGAACUAUAAUAGAAAUUGAUUUAUAAUUGAUGAUAAGUUUGAUUUUAGUUAUAUGUUUCAACCCUACAAUGCGUAACACCAUAAUCUAAUCAAGUAUAUACCAAUUUUUUAGUAUCAUCAAGUUAAUUUAUAUGGUGUACAAUGUGGUGUAACCUUUGUGUCAAGUUCAAAUUUAAUAACUACAACAAUUACAAAUAAUUGGUGGAUUUGUUGGUUAAAAAUAAAUGGCGAUUUGUUGAUUUAAAGUUGCAAUAUGUAUAGUGUUAUAUAUGAGUAGUAAAUUGCAUAGAUGGUUUUUUUUUCCCAGUAAGUUAUUAAAAUGUAAUACAAAUUGAGCGGGUUGAGUUAUGACCCUUACUGUAGCCCAUUUCAACCCAAAUAAAUUUUGAACAAAACGAUAACUUGCAUAUUUAUUAGUAUAAAAUACUUAGCGUCCCGCCAUUCUUUCUUGUUAGCACUGGAAAUCUAACACAUUCUACGGUAGAACUCUUAUAAAGUGAAAAGUCGUUCUUUAGUUAAAGCAGAAGAACAGAAACUGAGGGAAAAAAUCUAUGUAAACUCCAACAAUUUGGGUGCUAGUUACAUCUUAUCUCGAAAUUUUUUCAAAUUACAAUAAUUUCGAAUUUUUUAGAACUCGUGAAUAUAUUGCUCCUUCCCCCAAUAUAUAACAAACGACUCAUAAUUUUUGUAUCAGAUAUAUAAAUUAUGUAUCACAUACAUUACUAUAAACCAGACUCAUACUGAUUUAGAUAUGAAAUAAUUGAGAUUAUGUAUAACGAUAACAUUUAUAAUUAUCUAAUUUUCUCUAUUUAUGAACUCAGCCUAACUUAACACAUCAAAAUUGAGUUUAACCCGGUCCAUUUGAUACACUAGUGGUGCAUAAGGCUGCGCAACGGACCGGAACGGAACCAUCGGAACGAACCGAUAUCGGAACGGGACGGUUUGACCGGUUUGUUGAUCGGUACCGGGAUGAAUCGGAUCGGAAUUAUCGGGACGGAUACUCGGUUUCGUCCCGUCCUACUAUAUACCGGGAUGGAAUCGGAAUGGAUCGGAAUGGAACGGGAUGGGAUAAACGGGACAACACAUCUAGAUAUUUCAAAAAAUGAUAAAAAAAUUUUUUAGUUUUUUUUACUUUUUGAUUACGAAAAUAUGAAUGUUUUUUUUAUUUUUCUAAGUUUGAACUUUAAAUUAAUAGUUUUGAAAUUUAUAAAUUAUAAUGUAAUUUUACUUAAGUUUAUUUUAAAGAUAUUUUUAAAAUUUUUUUACCUAUUAAGUCUACAAGUUAAGUUUAAUAAAGUUUUUUUAAAAGUUUUUUAGCUUAGUUUUCAAAUUUCAAGAUUUGAAUCUUUUGAAGUUUAUAAGUUAUUACUUAUUAAUAUGUUAUAACUUAUAAGUUAUAUAUAUAAUUUGUAAUUUAAAUAACUUAAGUUUGUAAUUUAAAAAAAUAAAUAAAAAUAAGAAUAAAACAAUGACACAAUCACACAAAUUUUAAGAAAAUAAAAAAAACUUUUGAAUCUUGUAGAUUUAAUUAAAGAUAUAUAUAGAAUAUAUCAAAACACAUUUUAAUCUUAUAGUCUGAAACAUGUUAUAUGAAUUGUUUUUAUAAAUUUAUUUAAAGAUAUAUAAAAUAUAUCAAAAUACAUUUUAAUAUUAAAAUCUUAAAUAUGUUACACACAAAUUUUUGCUAAAAACAAGAACAUUAAAGGAAAGAAAAACAAGCCAUUUUAAAACGUAGAAAGUACUACUUAAUAAAUAUAUUGUUUCAUGUUUCUCACUCAAUGCGUUCGAUAUGUGUUUUGAAAUAUCAAUUAAUUUGAAUUUACAUUGCACAAACUCAUUAAAAGUAAGGGCGGAUCAAUAUCAUUGAUGAUCUAAAGCCAAAUUGCAAUUUAUUUUAUUUUUUUCAAAGAAAAAUUNNNNNNNNNNNNNNNNNNNNNNNNNNNNNNNNNNNNNNNNNNNNNNNNNNNNNNNNNNNNNNNNNNNNNAUAUAAUUUUUAUUUAAAGUCUGUUUUCUAACUUUUUAAAACUAAAGUUAUAAAUAAUUAUUUUAUAAUCAACUUGAUCUUCUAAUAUUAUUUUUUCUUCAAUUAGUAAAAUAGUAGCAAUCUAUUCAACAUUUUUUUUCAAACAUUUCAAAUAUCAAACAUUGGAAAAGUUAUAUAUUUUAUUUUUUUAUAUAUAAAUUAUAAUAGAAAAUAUAAAUUAAUUAAUAAAAAAUAAUUAACCGAAACCGGACCGGAACGGAACCGGAACAAACCGGGAUAAACCGGUACCGGUACACCGGUAUCAAAUCAUGAUACCGUUUCGUCCCGUGUACCAGUUCACGGUGUCCCGUUCCAUCCCAAAGACUACCGGACCGGAAUGGUACCGGUACCGGUACAACCUGGUCCGGUGACCAGCCUUAUCAGACUUCACUGGUGCACAUCCUUCGUGUUGUCUUCCUUGACAUUUCAGCCCAUUCAAAAAAUUAUACUUUCCAUCACCAAAUAGCUUGAUUUCAUCCCUUUUAGGCAACCAUUAGUCCAGGAUUGGUAUUACAUAUUCUAUAUAUUUCCAAUUGCAUCCAAUUGCAAGUUUUGGUAGGUUAGGGAUCUCCAUUUUGUUAUUGGUCCGAUCGGUCUGCUCUGAGCUUCUUCAACUGUAAGUGCUCCACUCUUGUUGUUGUAGAAUCUAUUCAAAUCACUACUUGCUUGGGAUUGAGGAGGCAGAGUAGUUAUUGUUGUGUUGAGUCUAUUGAAACGAGGACUGGACUGGAUGGACUGGUUAUGAUUCUCCAAAGUCCGAGCUACUGGUUGAAUGCUUGAGUAAAUGCCUAGUGAACAUUAUGUUCUUGCAUUCACAAGCUAAGUAAAAAAUAAGUUAUCUGUUUUAACGAUAAUCAAGAGAUAAAAAAGAAGAUUAGGCAAAGCUAGAUAUUUGUAAAUGUAAGGGUUGUGUGCUCUUGUUUAAUGUCCACGGUCUCGUCAUGCUCUUGGUUGUGUCUGUUAGAGUGGGUAAAAGUCCACAUUGGUUGGGAAUGGACGGGUGGUCUCUUAUAUGGACUUUGGCAAUUUUUCCCUCAUGAGCUAGCUUUUGGAGCAUGAGUCAGACCUAAGACCUAAUUUAAUAUAGUAUCAGAGCCAAGCCCAUCUCAAUUUGUUGUUCACCGAUGUUGGCCCAUCAGUAGAGGGAUGAGAGAUUGGUCUCUUUAUAUGGACUUAGACAAACCUCCCCCAAUGAACUAGCUUUUGGGGUAACUUUUAUGCUCAUAUCUUAGAUCUUUAAUUAAAUGAAAAACCUCUUUCAUGAACUAAUCCAAAGUUUCUUCUAGGUUAAAUUUCAUUGUGUAUAAUGGGAAGAAACUUCAGCUUCUCUCUUUAUCUAAAGUACAGAAGUUUGAAAGCUGUCUUUCCUCAACAAACAGACAACAGGUAUGAGUAAGAAACUUAAUUUUAUAUAUAUAUAUAUAUAUAUUUCCACCCAAGUUGGAUCAGGUCUCUAUUUGCUAAGUGUUGUGUCAUAUCUGGAAAGUUCCCGGAAAAGGCAUGCAUGGAUUUGCCUAGUUACAUUGGAAAGAAGCACUUGAGACUUAAGUUAGUGAUAAAGUUUCAACAAGGUGGCUUUAAAUAAAUACAGUUUGUUAAAAAGAUUUGCACUAGUGAAUCAAUCGUGUCUACUUUUUAUGUUGCACAUUCUGUUGAUCGAUACUUCAGACAUUUGUUUUGCAGUUUUGUUCUUUAAGUGCAACUCCUUUCUUUGUUUCUUUCCUCAAUGCUGUUUUCAUGCAUUCUCUGGACAAACUUUUCUCUCUUUUGGGGGAGGUGGUUGGGCCAAUAAGAUAUUGAAUAAGAAAGAAAAAUUACAUUGCUUGUACAUUUGAAGGCAUCAGGAAUAAUCAAAUUACUCUUGUACUUGAUUGCUAAGACCUACUACAUUCUAAAGCAAAAUUGUAUAUGUUUUGAGUACAAACACUUGAAAGUUUUCCCAACAUUUCCACCUUUUGUCCUAACUAUUAUAGAGAAGACGACAUUUGGCCAAGUACCGACACACAAUUAUCCCUGGACUCUUUUAGGACCAAAGUAGAGGUUAACAAGGAUAAAAAAGUAUAAUAUGGCUCAUCUUUAAGUCCUAGCUAGUGCCACCCCUAGCCCUUUCCAUACGAAUUAAAUGCCUUCACUAUUCCUGCUAACGUCCUUCUUCAACUGUAAUCGUCACCUGAUUGUUGGAUACGAUGUAUUUCUUAUCGGAGGAAGAAGAAGAUGUACUAGAAGCAUGUGUCCUUAUUACAAAAGCUGGUCUAUUAGGUGUUGGAAGGUUAGUACCUUCCCCUCCCAGCAUUAAAAUGACAUCUGACAUAUUAGGACGAUGAUUUGGAUCUUCUUGUACACACAGGAGUGCAAUAUUUAUG